CCUACGGUCGCAGCAGUGGGGAAUCUUAGACAAUGGGGGCAACCCUGAUCUAGCUAUGCCGCGUGAGUGAUGAAGGCCUUAGGGUUGUAAAGCUCUUCCAGCUGGGAAGAUAAUGACGGUACCAGCAGAAGAAGCCCCGGCUAACUCCGUGCCAGCAGCCGCGGUAAUACGGAGGGGGCUAGCGUUGUUCGGAAUUACUGGGCGUAAAGCGCACGUAGGCGGACUGGAAAGUCAGAGGUGAAAUCCCAGGGCUCUACCUUGGAACUGCCUUUGAAACUAUCAGUCUGGAGUUCGAGAGAGGUGAGUGGAAUUCCGAGUGUAGAGGUGAAAUUCGUAGAUAUUCGGGGGAACACCAGUGGCGAAGGCGGCUCACUGGCUCGAUACUGACGCUGAGGUGCGAAAGCGUGGGGAGCAAACAGGAUUAGAUACCCUAGUAGUC
rnacentral:rRNA from 1 species